rnacentral:rRNA from 1 species
CCCUUAGAUGUUCUGGGCCGCACGCGUGCUACACUGAGUGGAUCAGCGGGUCAGGUUACGCGAGAGCGUUUCCUAAUCUUCAAAUCCGCUCGUGAUGGGGAUUGACGGUUGCAAUUUUCCGUCAUGAACGAGGAAUACCUUGUAAGCGCGGGUCAUCAUCCCGCGCUGAAUACGUCCCCGCCCUUUGUACACACCGCCCGUCGCUCCUACCGAUUGAGUGGUCCGGUGAGGCUUUGGGAUCUAAGCGAAAAGAGCGUUUCGCUCCUUUUGCUGGGAGAACUCAGUCGAACCUUAUCAUUUAGAGGAAGGAGAAGUCGUAACA